AUCCUGGGCGGAUCGGUGCGUAAUGCCCAUGAAUCUGCCUGGUAGUGGGGGACAACGUUUCGAAAGGAACGCUAAUACCGCAUACGUCCUACGGGAGAAAGCAGGGGACCUUCGGGCCUUGCGCUAUCAGAUGAGCCUAGGUCGGAUUAGCUAGUUGGUGAGGUAAUGGCUCACCAAGGCGACGAUCCGUAACUGGUCUGAGAGGAUGAUCAGUCACACUGGAACUGAGACACGGUCCAGACUCCUACGGGAGGCAGCAGUGGGGAAUAUUGGACAAUGGGCGAAAGCCUGAUCCAGCCAUGCCGCGUGUGUGAAGAAGGUCUUCGGAUUGUAAAGCACUUUAAGUUGGGAGGAAGGGUUGUAGAUUAAUACUCUGCAAUUUUGACGUUACCGACAGAAUAAGCACCGGCUAACUCUGUGCCAGCAGCCGCGGUAAUACAGAGGGUGCAAGCGUUAAUCGGAAUUACUGGGCGUAAAGCGCGCGUAGGUGGUUUGUUAAGUCGGGAUGUGAAAUCCCCGGGGCUCAACCUGGGAACUGCAUCCGAAACUGGCAAGCUAGAGUAUGGUAGAGGGUAGUGGAAUUUCCUGUGUAGCGGUGAAAUGCGUAGAUAUAGGAAGGAACACCAGUGGCGAAGGCGACUACCUGGAACUGAUACUGACACUGAGGUGCGAAAGCGUGGGGAGCAAACAGGAUUAGAUACCCUGGUAGUCCACGCCGUAAACGAUGUCAACUAGCCGUUGGGGUCCUUGAGACUUUAGUGGCGCAGCUAACGCAUUAAGUUGACCGCCUGGGGAGUAC
rnacentral:rRNA from 1 species